ensembl:lncRNA
AAGGCCUCCCGAUCCUGCAGAGUACUCUGCAGUGAACUGACUCAAUGGAAAGUGGUGGGAAAGGAAGCUGGCCCUUAGAUUUCAGACCCCUCCAAAGCUUAGUUCUGUCCCAGGCAACAGGAAGGGGUUUCAUCAGGCAACAUGUACGCAGACGAACACACACACACGCACAGCGGAAGACAGCAUGAGGAAUGCCUGUGGGGAACUCCAGUGGAGCCCAGCGCCUACUCCUUGCCACCUCUGCCAACCUCAGUCCCUUCACUGCACCAAAAGUUCCCCUGAUGAGGCUGAGCCACCUUUUAGCAGCUGCUCUGAAAGAGGCUACAAAAUGAAGCAUUCCCAGUUAAUGUCAGUGGUGCUGUGGUUCAAACCCAGGUUUUCCAGCAUGCUAGGCCAAUAUUCUACCACUGAGCAAUAUCACCAGCCCCAGCCCAGUCUGACUUUUGAUACACAGCCCCCAGCCAAUGAACGUAAGUUGGGGAGAGGAAAAGAUAUGUUUCUACCCUCCACUACACACACAUAAACACACACAACACAGAGUUUUCGGUCCAUAUACAUGUGUUUAAAUAGUAAGUGGUAUUAUAUUAC